UCUCCGUAGGUGAACCUGCGGAGGGAUCAUUACAGAGUUCAUGCCCUACCGGGUAGAUCUCCCACCCUAUGUUAUUAUUACUUUGUUGCUUUGGCGGGCCGUUAGGCUCUGGCCCGACUACCGGCCCCGGCUGGUAAGCGCCCGCCAGAGGACCCAAAACCCUGAAUAUUAGUGUCGUCUGAGUACUAUAUAAUAGUUAAAACUUUCAACAACGGAUCUCUUGGUUCUGACAUCGAUGAAGAACGCAGC
rnacentral:misc_RNA from 1 species